rnacentral:tRNA from 1 species
GGGAUAUUGGUGUCAGCGGCGAGCACAGCAGACUCUUAAUCUGGCAGGCCAGGGUUCGAAUCCCUGAUAUCUCA